rnacentral:rRNA from 1 species
AUUGAACGCUGGCGGCAGGCCUAACACAUGCAAGUCGAACGAGUGGCGGACGGGUGAGUAAUGUCUGUGAAACUGCCUGCUGGAGGGGGAUAACUACUGGAAACGGUAGCUAAUACCGCAUACCAUCGGAUGUGCCCGGAUGGGAUUAGCUAGUGGGGGGGGUAAAGGCUCACCUAGGCGACGAUCCCUAGCUGGUCUGAGAGGAUGACCAAGUACACUGGAACGGAGACACGGUCCAGACGCCUACGGGAGGCAGCAGUGGGGAAUAUUGCACAAUGGGCGCAAGCCUGAUGCAGCCAUGCCGCGUGUAUGAAGAAGGCCUUUGGGUUGUAAAGUACUUUCAGCGGGGAGGCGUUACCCGAAGAAGAAGCACCGGCUAACUCCGUGGCAGCAGCCGCGGUAAUAC